UCUACAGCUGUUCUUUGGGAUUAGCAAGUGGAAGGAUCAGGAAGGUCAAGGAGGAAUCCUCUACUAAGUAGUAAAGUCUGUCAAGAAGCCAGAAGUUAGCCAUUGAGGUGGAGGAAGCUCUGGUGGUGAACUCUGAUAAUAGAGCAGGUUCUAGAAUUCUGGGGGAGAGUCCUGGGAGAUGUCAAGUGAGGAACAGAGGGAUGAAAGGUCAAGCUUAAGGAGGGCAGAUGCCACCACCAGCACCUGCAUGUUAAACACUGCAACUGAAAUGAGUCCAAAGUAUUACAGACCACAGAAGAUUAAACUAUUGUCACAGGCUUCUACAAUGGCAGCUUGGAAAUCACACCUAGCAGUUCUUCAUUGUUGAGUGCAACUGCCCAGUUGACCAUGCCAGCUACAUGCUCCAGACGCAUUCCUGCCUGAGAUACACAAAAGAUAUUGGAUCCCCUGGGUCUGUUGGGAGAGGAGCCUGUGCAGGCACAGCACCAAACCAGCCAUAGCAACAUUGGCAUCUAUAAGCAGAUUGCUCAGGGGAUGCAGGGGAAAGAGCUAUGACAGGAACCAGCAGCAAUGCCGUGUGAAAGCCAAGGAGCAUACCAGAAGGCCAGGAAGGCCAAAAAUCGAUCUGGGGCCAAGCUGCAGAUCUGCUGCUUUCACAAGAAGCUGCCACCCUAGACACUUCCAAGGAGCCUGAGCAAAGGGCCUGGAAGAUGAACAUGCAGACAGGAUGAACAUUGCAGACAGCCUAGAGAAGGAAAGAGUGGAGAGUAGAAAGGCCCUUGAGACCCAGCAAGAAAGGGAGAAGGUGAUGCACCAGGACAUACCCUCCUCCUCACCUCCCUGCCGCAGCUCAUUGAGAACUCAAUAUUGGGACCUCCCUGUGCCCCCUAAAAUGUUCUUAUUUGACAUCAGGGGUUGCUGUACUACCUCUACCACUCCACCCGGGGGGACAUUAAAGAAUAUUACAGCUUCAUAUACACGGACAUAUGGAAGCCACAGUUGGUGUAUGUGUAUCUGAAAUAGACA